rnacentral:rRNA from 1 species
GUAGGGGGCGAGCGUUAUCCGGAUUCAUUGGGCGUAAAGCGCGCGCAGGCGGACCGUUAAGCGGGACCUCUAAUCCUGGGGCUCAACCUCAGGCCGGGUCCCGAACUGGCGGUCUCGAGUGCGGUAGGGGAGGUCGGAAUUCCCGGUGUAGCGGUGGAAUGCGCAGAUAUCGGGAAGAACACCGAUGGCGAAGGCAGACCUCUGGGCCGACACUGACGCUGAGGCGCGAAAGCUAGGGGAGCGAAC